rnacentral:sRNA from 1 species
AUGUAAUGCGCGUACGUUCCGUUUUCUCCGCGCCGGCCGCAUCCACCUGACCACUGCACGCGAGGUUUUGUUAGCU